CCCUCACCACCGCCGGUACCGGGGGGCUCGGGCACGCGGGUGUUGGGACCCGGGCAGGGCUCCGGUUCUCUGGCUACAGCACAGAGCUGCCCCGUACCGGCUGCGGGGAACGGGCCUCACCCGGCGGUUCCGAGCCCGGUGCCCGCACACGUUCGGGUGCGUCCGGCCCCGUCUCCCCGCGGGCUCUGCCCGUCCCGCUCCCGCUGGAAGCGCUUGGCCGGGCAGCGCCCGUCCCCGCCCCGACUAUGCCGCACUCCGAGCCCGGGGGGAGUGGGGGCCGCGGUCCCCGACGAGGCGCCCCCGGCUCCUGUGGCCACUGCGCUUCUGGCCCCCGAGCGGCCAGGGACAGGCCCGGAGACCCGGGGGACGUGGGUGCCGCAUCGCUGCGGGGCAAUGGCGGGGCUGAUCCCCGCGGCCUGGCGGGCCCCGAGCUUCCUGCAGCGGCGCCGAGCAGGAAGCGGCUGUUGGCGGCGGCUUUCCUGCUCCGGGGGCCCUGGCGGCCUGAACGGGCGGUGCCGAGCCCGGCCCCGGCGUGGGUCCCAUCCUUCCCCUUCGGCCCUGCUAGACGGGGACCGGGGGUUGCGGUUCGGGGCUCCGCUUCCCGUCAGAAGGAGGGGUGGUGGCCCCGCAGGGGGGACGAACGGGGCCGCCCCGAGCCCGCAGCCGCGUCCCGAGCCCGCAUCUGAUGCCCUUGGAGCUUCGCUGAGUCAGACGGGGUGGGAGCGCGGCGUCCCCCCGACCUUCCCGGGCAUUGGCUCGGGAGCGAGCGGGCAGCGCUGGGGCGGGGCGGGCACCGGGAUAAACCCCCGGAGCACGGCCCCAGCCCAGGUGUCGAGGGCCCCGUGGUGGGAGGAUGCUCCUCAGGGCGCGGAUCCUCUGCUGCCUGCUCCUCGCCCUGCUCCAGCGCGCUUGGCCUGGGAGGAGGAGGAGGAGGCGUAUCUGAGGUGCUGA
rnacentral:lncRNA from 1 species